UACAGGAGGGUGCGAGCCGUUGUCCGGAAUCAGCUAGGGCGUAAGGGCGCGUAGGCGGCUUGAUAAGGUUGCGGUGAAAGCCCGGGGACUCAACCCCGGGUCCGGCCUGUCGGCAACUUGUCGAGCUGGGAGCACUGUAGGAGGCAGGUGGAAUUCCGGGUGUAGCGGGUGGAAUGCGUAGAGAUCCGGAAGAACACCGGUGGCG
rnacentral:rRNA from 1 species